GUGCAUAAGGCUUUUGGGUGGUGGCUCAUCCCUUUCAGAAAGGGGGUGAGGCCUAUAUGACAGUUUUCGAAGGGUUGGUCUUAAUGAUCUCUUUCGGGACGCUCAUUGUAGCUAUUCUGUCAGAAAAAAAGUAACCACCCUAGCCUGACAAGCAUUUAAUGGUUACUUUUCUCAAAAUGUGAGUCGCCCCCUUUAAGGGCUAUGCACGAAACCGUUUGGUGUUCCAGCACCAGGCG
rnacentral:sRNA from 1 species